GAGGUGAGGCCUAAUGGGAGGUCUUUAGGUUGUUGGGGGCAUGCCCCUGAAGGGGAUUGUGGGUCUCUGGCCCCUUUGUCUCUCUCUUUCUCCUUGUUUCUCAGCCAUGAGAUGAGCAGUUUUGCUUCACCACAUGCUCCCUCCAUAAUGUGCUACAUCACCACAGGCCCAAAUCAACAGUGCCAACCAAUUAUGGCUUGUAACCUCCAAAACUUGCAGAAUUUCACUGUGAACACCGUGGACACUAUCUAAUUAGUCUAAUGCAAUUCUGGUAGUGAAUGGUCUUCAUUGCAUUAUUUGGUAUUAGGGUUCUGGGUCAUAUCUAAAAAUGUUCCAGCUUGAAAGUUAAUGUAA